AAGGUUAAUUAAAAUAAAGCCGCUAACUUUAAAUUUGUUCAUUAAACAUAACCUUU
rnacentral:tRNA from 1 species